AUCCACCGCGCAGCCGCAGACGGCGCCGAGGCGCUAACGCGCAGCCGCAGAGAGAGCGGAGGGGGUCUGCGCAGCCGCAGGAGAAGGUGGCGGUAUCUGCAAGAGUUCGUCUCGGGUUGUUUCGCGGGCGGCCUCAGGAGGUUGGGCCCGGGCGGGUCUUGUCCCUGCACCUCUCACCCGGGCGCGUGAGGCCGGCUCCGCUGCGCUGCCCUCGAGGCGCCAGCCCUCCUUCCCUAAGCCGCCGCCAUCAUGGUGCCCGUGUUCACCCUGAAACUGCGCCACAAAAUCAGCCCCCGCAUGGUGGCCAUAGGGCGCUACGACGGGACUCACCCAUGUCUGGCGGCCGCCACUCAAGCGGGCAAGGUUUUUAUUCAUAAUCCUCAUACACGGAACCAGCAUUUCAGUGCAUCCAGGGUCUUCCAGAGCCCCCUGGAAUCCGAUGUUUCUCUUCUCAACAUUAACCAGGCAGUCAGCUGCCUGACUGCAGGCAUAUUGAACCCUGAGCUUGGCUGUGAUACUCUUUUAGUGGGGACACAGACUAAUCUUUUGGCUUAUGAUGUCUACAAUAAUUCGGAUUUGUUCUACAGAGAGGUAGCAGAUGGGGCAAAUGCAAUUGUGCUGGGGACCUUGGGAGACAUUUCUUCCCCUCUUGCAAUUAUUGGUGGCAACUGUGCUCUGCAGGGUUUCAAUCAUGAAGGAAGUGAUCUCUUUUGGACGGUUACUGGAGACAAUGUUCAUUCCUUGGCCUUGUGUGACUUUGACGGUGAUGGAAAGAAAGAGCUUCUUGUUGGAUCUGAGGAUUUUGACAUCCGAGUUUUUAAGGAAGAUGAGAUUGUGGCAGAAAUGACAGAAACAGAGGUAGUCACCUCUCUUUGUCCCAUGUAUGGCAGUCGAUUUGGUUAUGCCCUUUCCAAUGGCACAGUUGGAGUUUAUGAAAAAACAGCCCGAUACUGGAGAAUUAAAUCGAAAAAUCAUGCCAUGAGCAUUCAUGCUUUUGACCUUAAUUCUGAUGGAGUGAAUGAACUGAUAACUGGUUGGUCCAAUGGGAAGGUUGAUGCUCGAAGUGACCGAACUGGGGAGGUCAUCUUUAAGGAUAAUUUUUCUUCUGCAAUUGCUGGUGUGGUAGAAGGAGAUUACAGGAUGGAUGGCCACAUACAGUUAAUCUGCUGCUCAGUGGAUGGGGAAAUCCGGGGCUACCUGCCUGGCAUGGCUGAGACGAGGGGGAACCUCAUGGACACCAGUGUAGAGCAGGACCUAAUCCGAGAGCUGAGUCAGAAGAAGCAGAAUCUGUUGCUGGAACUCCGUAACUAUGAGGAAAACAGCAAGGCUGAAUUGGGCAGUCCACUGAAUGAGGCUGAUGGGCAUCGGGGCAUAAUUCCAGCCAAUACCAGGCUCCACACCAUGCUGUCAGUCAAUUUGGGGAAUGAGACCCAAACUGCUCAUACAGAAGUGUGCAUUUCUACUUCUAAUGACACCAUCAUCCGAGCAGUAUUGAUUUUCGCAGAGGGAAUUUUUGCAGGUGAAAGUCACGUGGUACAUCCCAGCAUUCACAACCUCUCCAGUUCCAUCCGCAUCCCUAUUGCGCCUCCCAAAGAUGUCCCUGUGGAUCUGCACUUGAAAGCAUUUGUGGGUUACAGAAGCAGCACCCAGUUUCAUGUAUUUGAAUUGACAAGACAGCUCCCUCGAUUCUCCAUGUAUGCACUGACUAGCCUGGACUCUGCCAGCGAGCCAAUCAGUUAUGUUAACUUUACCAUUGCAGAACGGGCACAGCGGGUUGUUGUGUGGCUCAGUCAGAACUUUCUGUUACCAGAAGACACUCACUUUCAGAAUGCUCCAUUUCAAGUGUGUUUCACAUCUUUACGGAAUGGUGGCCAUCUGUAUAUAAAAAUAAAACUUAGUGGAGAGAUCACUAUAAAUACUGAUGAUAUUGAUUUGGCUGGCGAUGUCAUCCAGUCAAUGGCAUCAUUUUUUGCUAUUGAAGACCUUCAAGUAGAAGCGGAUUUUCCUGUCUACUUUGAGGAAUUAAGAAAGGUGCUAGUGAAGUUUCAAGAAGUUUGUGAGGCCUUUUUAAUUCCUGAGUGUCCAUGGUCUCCAGGUGGACGAACAUCAUUCAGUGCAUCAGAAGCUCAGUGCUGACAUGGCUGAUCAUUCUAAUCUGAUCCGAAGUUUGCUGGUCAGAGCUGAGGAUGCUCGUCUGAUGAGGGACAUGAAAACAAUGAAGAGUCGUUAUAUGGAACUCUAUGACCUUAAUAGAGACUUGCUAAAUGGUUAUAAAAUUCGCUGUAACAAUCACACAGAACUGUUGGGAAACCUCAAAGCAGUAAAUCAAGCAAUUCAAAGAGCAGGUCGUCUGCGGGUCGGAAAACCAAAGAACCAGGUGAUCACUGCUUGUCGGGAUGCAAUUCGAAGCAAUAACAUCAACACACUGUUCAGAAUCAUGCGAGGGGGGACAGCUUCUUCAUAGGAGAGGAAAAUAUAGGUCAUGAAGUUCCUGGAAAAGGUUUUCUGUUAAAAAUCUAUGCUGGUUUACUUUGGAUCACACCCUCGUGAACCCAGGGUGCUAAGGAUGAAAAUAACCUUGGUGAGUUGUACAAGUUAAAGACAAAAAACUACAUUUGAAGAUAUAUUCGCUUGCUAUUUUUAAAUCAGUAGUACUGUUGCUGAAUGAUACUAGGUUUGCAUGGAAUAGGAUGAAUGCUUUUGAAGUAUUAGGGCUUCAAAGUCCAAUUUUUGCAUAUUUAUGGUAUAUUAAUACAUCUUUUUUCUUGAAAUUGUAAUUGAAUUUGUACUUUUCAAAUAAUCUACUUCUUCAUUAAAUGUAAAGAUGU